rnacentral:rRNA from 1 species
GACGAACGCUGGCGGCGUGCUUAACACAUGCAAGUCGAACGGUAAGACCCUUCGGGGUACACGAGUGGCGAACGGGUGAGUGACACGUGGGUGAUCUGCCCUGCACUUCGGGAUAAGCCUGGGAAACUGGGUCUAAUACCGGAUAGGACCACUGCCUGCAUGGGUGGUGGCGGAAAGCUUUUGCGGUGUGGGAUGGGCCCGCGGCCUAUCAGCUUGUUGGUGGGGUGAUGGCCUACCAAGGCGACGACGGGUAGCCGGCCUGAGAGGGUGACCGGCCACACUGGGACUGAGAUACGGCCCAGACUCCUACGGGAGGCAGCAGUGGGGAAUAUUGCACAAUGGGCGCAAGCCUGAUGCAGCGACGCCGCGUGAGGGAUGACGGCCUUCGGGUUGUAAACCUCUUUCAGCACCGACGAAGCGCAAGUGACGGUAGGUGCAGAAGAAGGACCGGCCAACUACGUGCCAGCCGCCGCCGUAA